rnacentral:rRNA from 1 species
CGCGUAGGCGGGCUUCUAAGCGGAACCUCUAACCCGAGGGCUCAACCCCCGGCCGGGUUCCGAACUGGAAGCCUCGAGUCUGGUAGAGGAAGAUGGAAUUCCCGGUGUAGCGGUGGAAUGCGCAGAUAUCGGGAAGAACACCGAUGGCGAAGGCAGUCUUCUGGGCCGCGACUGACGCUGAGGCGCGAAAGCUGGGGGAGCGAACA